rnacentral:sRNA from 1 species
GAAGGAUGAGAAGCUUCGACCAAGGUUCGACUCGAGCGAAGCGAGAGAACGUUGCCGCAGGCAAUGGCCCGAAGGCGAGGCGCUUUAGCGCCGAGUAAUCCUUC